rnacentral:rRNA from 2 species
UACGUAGGGCGCAAGCGUUGUCCGGAAUUAUUGGGCGUAAAGAGCUCGUAGGCGGCUUGUCACGUCGGAUGUGAAAGCCCGAGGCUUAACCUCGGGUCUGCAUUCGAUACGGGCUAGCUAGAGUGUGGUAGGGGAGAUCGGAAUUCCUGGUGUAGCGGUGAAAUGCGCAGAUAUCAGGAGGAACACCGGUGGCGAAGGCGGAUCUCUGGGCCAUUACUGACGCUGAGGAGCGAAAGCGUGGGGAGCGAACAGG